CACUGCUCAAUACUCAUUAACGAAUAGAUAUGUUCGUAUAAUAAGAUUAGUGAUAAAUAAGAAUAAGUUGAAAUGUCGAUGGUUGAGAAAUGCAUCACAUGAUGCGAUUGGACGAUUCGAAUGUGCUCUGGCUUGAUCUUCUACAGCUUGUAUCUUGUGAAUUUGCUGAUGGGCUGUAAAUUGAUAGCCAAGUGCAUACAAUUGCUGUGCUUGAUGCUUCCCAUCAGUUGCUUCGGCAUUCCAAUUUAUAAGAGAAAUUUCAAGAAGAAUGUUUAGGCCUGAGUAAUAAACUUGCAGUGGCAACAAUGGCGAACAUGUUUAAUUCAGGGAACAGAGGAACAAGGACUCGCAAGUACAUAUUCAUGGUGGGGGGUCUCUGUUUUUUCUUCUACAUAUUAGGAGCGUGGCAGAGGGGUGAGUUUGGGAAAGGGGACACCAUUGCAAUGGCUGGGACAGCCAUGAUCGGUGCAAGCUGCAAGAUUCUUCCAAACCUCGAUUUCAAACUGCAUUAUGGCAGUGUAACUGAGGAUUCUAAAGUGACAGUGUAUGAGCAUGCUACACCGAUCACUCGAACCCUGCCAAGAUCAGAAAGAGGAUUGAUUGGAAUCUACCAUGACUUUGAUCAGACACCGGGACUCUGACAAGAAGGCGUGAUCGCCCCGAUUCGAAAGCUAUUACAGUAUAAGCAAGCAGUCUCAAAUCUUUACAUUAGAAAGCUAUUUCAUUUCUGGUAAUGAUACAGUACAAUAAAAGUCUGCUAAAUUGUGUCUUCAAUGGACAAGCUUCAUCAUUCCCUCGGACAAUAUAUAUGUAUGUGUAUAUAUAAUAAAAAGCAAGGUAACUUUAAAACGUCUCAUAUAUGGGUAUAUAUAUAUAUAUAUAUAUACUUGAUAGUCAUGAAAUCA